AUAGUAACGUACAUAUUAACUCUUCCAGUGACAUAUAGAAUAAUGCU
rnacentral:guide_RNA from 1 species